rnacentral:lncRNA from 1 species
AGUGAAAGCCCAAGUUUGGUUUUGGUAAUUAAUGACACCAAGUUGCUAAUGCCUUGUGUUUAAGUGAUUUGAGUUAGGCAUAGCAACACAUGUGAUGAAGGUGCAUGGUGGCAUGGAAAGGUGGCCACACGAUCACAAAGGGAUGAAGCAUGAAGUGGAGAUCAUGGUGAUAGACGAGGAGCAAAGUUAUCAAGGCAAAGGUAUAAACAUAGGGUUUUACUUUUGCCGGUCUAAGAUGAGUAGAGAAGUGAUUGACCGGGUUUAGAAUAGAUAGCCGACUAUCAAGAGGGGAAAUCACG